rnacentral:rRNA from 1 species
GACAGAGGCCACGAACGUUGUUCGGAAUCACUGGGCAUAAAGCGCACGUAGGCGGCUAGGUCCGUCCGAUGUGAAAGCCCCCGGCUCAACCGGGGAAUUGCAUCGGAUACAGCCUGGCUUGAGGACGGUUGGGGUGAGUGGAACUCCUGGUGGAGCGGUGAAAUGCGUAGAUAUCAGGAGAACACCAGUGGCGAAAGCAGGCUCU